AUCCUGGCGUAGCAAGUCGUACACGCUAUGAAAGAAACCUAGAAUGGACACAUCAAUUGCAUGAUAUAUCGAUUCGUAAAGGGAAUUCCGAGAACGAGAUUACGCACUUGUAACAGCACUGAACACAACGCUCGUCGUAUUGCAACAAGACCAAGGAAUCGCAUCUGUACCACGAUAAUCGGAAGGUCCGUCUAUUCCGCAACAAUGUUGAUUUCUCAUCCGUGAUUGCGAGGGCAAAGAUCUCGUCGUGUUGCGCGGACGGUAAGGUCUCUACUUGUUCGUGUCGUACCAAGGCCCAAAUUCCGACACUGGUUUCAAUCAGAGCGAUAAUCGAC